rnacentral:rRNA from 1 species
AUUGAACGCUGGCGGCAGGCCUAACACAUGCAAGUCGAGCGGAGCGGCGGACGGGUGAGUAAUGCCUAGGAAUCUGCCUGGUAGUGGGGGAUAACGUCCGGUAACGGGAGCUAAUACCGCAUACUAUCAGAUGAGCCUAGGUCGGAUUAGCUAGUUGGUGGGGUAAAGGCCUACCAAGGCGACGAUCCGUAUCUGGUCUGUGAGGAUGAUCAGUCACACUGGAACUGAGACACGGUCCAGCCUCCUACGAGAGGCAGCAGUGGGUAAUAUUGCACAAUGGGCGAAAGCCUGAUCCAGCCAUGCCGCGUGGAUGAAGAAGGUCUUCGGAUUGUAAAGCACUGUAAGUUGGGAGGCGUUACCAACAGAAUAAGCACCGGCUAACUUCGUGCCAGCAGCCGCGGUAAUUC